rnacentral:tRNA from 1 species
AGUAAAAUGCCUGAAUAUAGGGUUAUCUUGAUAGGAUAAAAUAUGUACAUUGUACUUUUACUA